rnacentral:rRNA from 1 species
GCAGAACAUUCUGGAAAGUAUAACCAUAGAGGGUGAUAGUCCCGUAUGCGAAAAACAAACCUUAGCUAGCAGUAUCCUGAGUAGGGCGGGACACGAGGAAUCCUGUCUGAAUCCGGGUCGACCACGAUCCAACCCUAAAUACUAAUACCAGAUCGAUAGUGCACAAGUACCGUGAGGGAAAGGUGAAAAGAACUGAGGUGAUCAGAGUGAAAUAGAACCUGAAACCAUUUGCUUACAAUCAUUCAGAGCCUUAUGUAGCAAUACAGGGUGAUGGACUGCCUUUUGCAUAAUGAGCCUGCGAGUUGUGGUGUCUGGCAAGGUUAAGCAAACGCGAAGCCGUAGCGAAAGCGAGUCUGAAUAGGGCGCUUAGUCAGAUGCUGCAGACCCGAAACGAAGUGAUCUAUCCAUGAGCAAGUUGAAGCUAGUGUAAGAACUAGUGGAGGACUGAACCCAUAGGCGUUGAAAAGCCCCGGGAUGACUUGUGGAUAGGGGUGAAAGGCCAAUCAAACUUCGUGAUAGCUGGUUCUCUCCGAAAUAUAUUUAGGUAUAGCGUUGUGUCGUAAUAUAAGGGGGUAGAGCACUGAAUGGGCUAGGGCAUACACCAAUGUACCAAACCCUAUCAAACUCCGAAUACCUUAUAUGUAAUCACAGCAGUCAGGCGGCGAGUGAUAAAAUCCGUCGUCAAGAGGGAAACAACCCAGACUACCAGCUAAGGUCCCUAAAUCUUACUUAAGUGGAAAACGAUGUGAAGUUACUUAAACAACCAGGAGGUUGGCUUAGAAGCAGCCAUCCUUUAAAGAAAGCGUAAUAGCUCACUGGUCUAGUGAUUUUGCGCGGAAAAUAUAACGGGGCUAAAGU